ACUCAGCUGAUGAGUCCCAAAUAGGGCGAAACGCGCGUCCUGAAU
rnacentral:hammerhead_ribozyme from 1 species